UAAUUAAAGGUGCCCUGCCACAUGCACUUCAUCACUUUGUGGUGAUGUCUUAAGUUCUACCAUAGACUAAGUAACAGUUUGUUGUG